CCUACGGGAGGCAGCAGUGGGGAAUAUUGCACAAUGGGGGAAACCCUGAUGCAGCGACGCCGCGUGAGUGAAGAAGUAUUUCGGUAUGUAAAGCUCUAUCAGCAGGGAAGAAAAUGACGGUACCUGACUAAGAAGCCCCUGCUAACUACGUGCCAGCAGCCGCGGUAAUACGUAGGGGGCAAGCGUUAUCCGGAUUUACUGGGUGGAAAGGGAGCGUAGACGGCCAGACAAGUCAGAAGUGAAAGCCCAGGGCUCAACCCUGGGACUGCUUUGGAAACUGCCGGGCUGGAGUGCAGGAGAGGUAAGCGGAAUUCCUGGUGUAGCGGUGAAAUGCGUAGAUAUUAGGAGGAAUACCGGUGGCGAAGGCGGCCUACUGGACUGUGACUGACGUUGAGGCUCGAAAGCGUGGGGAGCAAACAGGAUUAGAUACCCCAGUAGUC
rnacentral:rRNA from 1 species